rnacentral:rRNA from 1 species
GUGUCAGCCGCCGCGGUAAUACGUAGGUGGCAAGCGUUGUCCGGAUUUACUGGGCGUAAAGCGCGCGCAGGCGGACUGGUCAGUCCGGGGUGAAAUCUCACGGCUCAACCGUGAGGGGUCCCUGGAUACUGCCAGCCUUGAGGGGCUCAGAGGAGAGUGGAAUUCCGGGUGUAGUGGUGGAAUGCGUAGAUAUCCGGAGGAACACCAGUGGCGAAAGCGGCUCUCUGGGGGCAACCUGACGCUGAGGCGCGAAAGCGUGGGGAGCGAACCGGAUUAGAUACCCGGGUAGUCCACGCCGUAAACGAUGAGUACUAGUUGUCGGGGGUAUCGACCCCCUCGGUAACGAAGCUAACGCGAUAAGUACUCCGCCUGGGGACUACGACCGCAAGGUUAAA